GAUGAACGCUGGCGGCGUGCCUAAUACAUGCAAGUCGAACGAAAGGACGCGAAGCUUGCGUCGCUGAUGUUAGCGGCGGGCGGGUGAGUAACACGUGUAUAACCCACCUAUAAGUCGGGGAAAACCUCGGGACAGCGGCGAUAAUACCGGAGGAUAUCUUGCACCGCGUGGGGCGAAAGUGAGAGACGGUCUUGCGGUAACUAAUCGAUGCAUCCGCGCUGCAUUAGCUAGUUGGUAAGGUAACGGCUUACGAAGGCAACUAGGCAUAGCCGACCUGAGAGGGUGAUAGGCCACACUGGAACUGAGACACGGUCCAGACUCCUACGGGAGGCAGCAGUAGGGAAUCUUCCGCAAUGGGCGAAAGCCUGACGGAGCAACGCCGCGUGAGUGAUGACGGUCUUCGGAUCGUAAAACUCUGUUAUUAGGGAAGAACAUAUGUGUAAGUAACUGUGCACAUCUUGACGGUACCUAAUCAGAAAGCCACGGCUAACUACGUG
rnacentral:rRNA from 1 species